UACGUAGGGGGCUAGCGUUGUCCGGAUUUAUUGGGCGUAAAGCGCGUGUAGGCGGCUUUGCAAGUCGGGUGUGAAAGCCCUCAGCUCAACUGAGGAAGUGCGCCCGAAACUGCAGAGCUUGAGUACCGGAGAGGAUGGCGGAAUUCCCCAAGUAGAGGUGAAAUUCGUAGAUAUGGGGAGGAACACCGGUGGCGAAGGCGGCCAUCUGGACGGAUACUGACGCUGAGACGCGAAAGCGUGGGUAGCAAACAGG
rnacentral:rRNA from 1 species